rnacentral:rRNA from 1 species
UACGGAGGGGGCUAGCGUUGUUCGGAAUUACUGGGCGUAAAGCGCACGUAGGCGGCUUUGUAAGUUAGAGGUGAAAGCCCAGGGCUUAACCCUGGAAUUGCCUUUAAGACUGCAUCGCUAGAAUCGUGGAGAGGUGAGUGGAAUUCCGAGUGUAGAGGUGAAAUUCGUAGAUAUUCGGAAGAACACCAGUGGCGAAGGCGACUCACUGGACACGUAUUGACGCUGAGGUGGCGAAAAGCGUGGGGAGCAACAGG